GUGGGGAAUUUUGGACAAUGGGCGCAAGCCUGAUCCAGCCAUUCCGCGUGCAGGAUGAAGGCCUUCGGGUUGUAAACUGCUUUUGUACGGAACGAAAAGCCUCUGGUUAAUACCCGGGGGUCAUGACGGUACCGUAAGAAUAAGCACCGGCUAACUACGUGCCAGCAGCCGCGGUAAUACGUAGGGUGCGAGCGUUAACCGGAAUUACUGGGCGUAAAGCGUGCGCAGGCGGUGAUGUAAGACAGUUGUGAAAUCCCCGGGCUCAACCUGGGAACUGCAUCUGUGACUGCAUUGCUGGAGUGCGGCAGAGGGGGAUGGAAUUCCGCGUGUAGCAGUGAAAUGCGUAGAUAUGCGGAGGAACACCGAUGGCGAAGGCAAUCCCCUGGGCCUGCACUGACGCUCAAGCACGAAAGCGUGGGGAGCAAACAGGAUUAGAAACCCGUGUAGUCC
rnacentral:rRNA from 1 species